rnacentral:rRNA from 1 species
AGCGAACGCUGGCGGCAGGCCUAACACAUGCAAGUCGAACGAAGUCUACGGACUUAGUGGCGGACGGGUGAGUAACACGUGGGAACGUGCCUUUAGGUUCGGAAUAACUCAGGGAAACUUGUGCUAACACCGAAUGUGCCCUUCGGGGGAAAGAUUUAUCGCCUUUAGAGCGGCCCGCGUCUGAUUAGCUAGUUGGUGAGGUAAAGGCUCACCAAGGCUACGAUCAGUAGCUGGUCUGAGAGGAUGACCAGCCACAUUGGGACUGAGACACGGCCCAAACUCCUACGGGAGGCAGCAGUGGGGAAUCUUGCGCAAUGGGCGAAAGCCUGACGCAGCCAUGCCGCGUGGAUGAUGAAGGUCUUAGGAUUGUAAAAUCCUUUCACCGGUGAAGAUAAUGACUGUAGCCGGAGAAGAAGCCCCGGCUAACUUCGUGCCAGCCGCCGCGGUAACAC